GAUGAACGCUGGCGGCGUGCCUAAUACACGCAAGUCGAGCGAAUGGAUUAAGAGCUUGCUCUUAUGAAGUUAGCGGCGGACGGGUGAGUAACACGUGGGUAAACUGCACAUAAGACUGGGAUAACUCCGGGAAACCGGGGCUAAUACCGGCUAACAUUUUGAAACGCAUGGUUCGAAAUUGAAAGGCGGCUUCGGCUGUAACUUAUGGAUGGACCCGCGUCGCAUUAGCUAGUUGGUGAGGUAACGGCUCACCAAGGCAACGAUGCGUAGCCGACCUGAGAGGGGGAUCGGCCACGCUGGGACUGAGACACGGCCCAGACUCCUACGGGAGGCAGCAGUAGGGAAUCUUCCGCAAUGGACGAAAGUCUGACGGAGCAACGCCGCGUGAGUGAUGAAGGCUUUCGGGUCGUAAAACUCUGUUGUUAGGGAAGAACAAGUGCUAGUUGAAUAAGCUGACACCUUGACGGUACCUAACCAGAAAGCCACGGCUAACUACGUGCCAGCCGCCGCAGUAA
rnacentral:rRNA from 1 species